rnacentral:rRNA from 1 species
CAGUAGCCACGGGAAUACAGAGGGUGCAAGCGUUAAUCGGAUUUGCUGGGCGUAAAGGGCGCGUAGGUGGUUAUGUAAGUGAGAUGUGAAAUCCCCGGGCUCAACCUGGGAACUGCAUCUUAUACUGCGUAGCUGGAGUGCAGUAGAGGGUAGUGGAAUUUCCGGUGUAGCGGUGAAACGCGUAGAUAUCGGAAGGAACACCAGUGGCGAAGGCGGCUACCUGGACUGACACUGACACUGAGGCGCGAAAGCGUGGGGAGCAAACAGGAUUAGAUACCCGCGUAGUCCCUGUCUCUUAUAC